rnacentral:rRNA from 1 species
CUCCUACGGGAGGCAGCAGUGAGGAAUAUUGGUCAAUGGGCGAGAGCCUGAACCAGCCAAGUAGCGUGAAGGAUGACUGCCCUAUGGGUUGUAAACUUCUUUUAUAAAGGAAUAAAGUCGGGUAUGUAUACCCGUUUGCAUGUACUUUAUGAAUAAGGAUCGGCUAACUCCGUGCCAGCAGCCGCGGUAAUACGGAGGAUCCGAGCGUUAUCCGGAUUUAUUGGGUUUAAAGGGAGCGUAGAUGGAUGUUUAAGUCAGUUGUGAAAGUUUGCGGCUCAACCGUAAAAUUGCAGUUGAUACUGGAUAUCUUGAGUGCAGUUGAGGCAGGCGGAAUUCGUGGUGUAGCGGUGAAAUGCUUAGAUAUCACGAAGAACUCCGAUUGCGAAGGCAGCCUGCUAAGCUGCAACUGACAUUGAGGCUCGAAAGUGUGGGUAUCAAACAGGAUUAGAUACCCUGGUAGUCCACACGGUAAACGAUGAAUACUCGCUGUUUGCGAUAUACAGCAAGCGGCCAAGCGAAAGCGUUAAGUAUUCCACCUGGGGAGUACGCCGGCAACGGUGAAACUCAAAGGAAUUGACGGGGGCCCGCACAAGCGGAGGAACAUGUGGUUUAAUUCGAUGAUACGCGAGGAACCUUACCCGGGCUUAAAUUGCAGAUGAAUUACGGUGAAAGCCGUAAGCCGCAAGGCAUCUGUGAAGGUGCUGCAUGGUUGUCGUCAGCUCGUGCCGUGAGGUGUCGGCUUAAGUGCCAUAACGAGCGCAACCCUUGUUGUCAGUUACUAACAGGUUUUGCUGAGGACUCUGACAAGACUGCCAUCGUAAGAUGUGAGGAAGGUGGGGAUGACGUCAAAUCAGCACGGCCCUUACGUCCGGGGCUACACACGUGUUACAAUGGGGGGUACAGAGGGCCGCUACCACGCGAGUGGAUGCCAAUCCCCAAAACCUCUCUCAGUUCGGACUGGAGUCUGCAACCCGACUCCACGAAGCUGGAUUCGCUAGUAAUCGCGCAUCAGCCACGGCGCGGUGAAUACGUUCCCGGGCCUUGUACACACCGC